rnacentral:rRNA from 1 species
UACGGGGGGGGCAAGCGUUGUUCGGAAUUACUGGGCGUAAAGGGCUCGUAGGCGGCCAACUAAGUCGGAUGUGAAAUCCCCAGGCUUAACCUGGGAACUGCAUCCGAUACUGGAUGGCUUGAAUCCGGGAGAGGGAUGCAGAAUUCCAGGUGUAGCGGUGAAAUGCGUAGAUAUCUGGAGGAAUACCGGGGGCGAAGGCGGCAUCCUGGACCGGCAUUGACGCUGAGUGAGCGAAAGCCAGGGGAGCAAACGGG